GUAGUAUGUAUGAAGUCUUCUAUUCGAACCUCAAUAUCAUUAUACAUAAAAAGGUUUACAACAUGUCAUCUCAAUGUAAUAAUGGUGAUGUGGGUUUGUCAUGGAUGUGGUUUUGUAUCAUGGAAUGCUGGUAUGAAAUGGAGAUGAUGGAGAAGACAUAGAGGCACACAACUCCCAUCUGAAAACAAAGGAGGCAGAUGUGUAGCAAUGCAUAAGUGAAACCCUAAUGUUCUCUUUGUUCUUAGUCUUAUGUUGGUUUAUCAGGGCAACUAAUCAUUUUGUUAAAAGUUGGGCCAUACUCGGCCCAAUACAAAAAUAUAAGUUAACCUAAUACUCUAAUACUUUAAUACCAUAGGAUUAGAGUUCUCUAUAUAGGAUUAAAAACAAAUGUUCUUUCUUUCAAAUUAAUCUUUUCUAGUAUUUUUCUUCAA